GUCGAACGGUAACAGGAAGAAGCUUGCUUCUUUGCUGACGAGUGGCGGACGGGUGAGUAAUGUCUGGGAAACUGCCUGAUGGAGGGGGAUAACUACUGGAAACGGUAGCUAAUACCGCAUAACGUCGCAAGACCAAAGAGGGGGACCUUCGGGCCUCUUGCCAUCGGAUGUGCCCAGAUGGGAUUAACUAGUGGGUGGCGCAAUUGAUCUCCCAGGCGAACAUCCCUAA
rnacentral:rRNA from 1 species